rnacentral:piRNA from 1 species
CGUUGAACUGUUGCUCCGACA